UACGUAGGGGGCAAGCGUUGUCCGGAUUUAUUGGACGUAAAGCGCUCGCAGGCGGCCUGAUGCGUCGUGCGUGAAACACCCCGGCUCAACUGGGGGGGGUCGUGCGAUACGGUCAGGCUCGAGGCCAGUAGGGGGACGCGGAAUUCCGGGUGUAGUGGUGGAAUGCGUAGAGAUCCGGAGGAACACCAGCGGCGAAGGCGGCGUCCUGGACUGGUACUGACGCUCAGGAGCGAAAGCGUGGGGAGCGAACAGG
rnacentral:rRNA from 1 species